UACGUAGGGUGCGAGCGUUAUCCGGAAUUACUGGGCGUAAAGCGUGUGUAGGUGGUUUGUUAAGUUAAAUGUAAAAUCCUCAGGCUUAACUUGAGGGCUGCAUUUAAUACUGGCAGACUUGAGGGCGGGAGAAGUAAGCGGAAUUAGCGGUGUAGCAGUGAAAUGCGUAGAUAUCGCUAGGAACACCAAUGGCGAAGGCAGCUUACUAGAACGUACCUGACACUGAGACACGAAAGCGUGGGGAG
rnacentral:rRNA from 1 species